GACGAACGCUGGCGGCGUGCUUAACACAUGCAAGUCGAACGGUGAAGCGCCUUCCUUUUUGGUGGGUGUGGAUGAGUGGCGAACGGGUGAGUAACACGUGAGUAACCUGCCCCCUUCUUCUGGAUAACCGCAUGAAAGUGUGGCUAAUACGGGAUAUUCUGGGUCUGUCGCAUGAUGGGUCUGGGAAAGAUAUUGUUUCGGUGGGGGAUGGGCUCGCGGCCUAUCAGCUUGUUGGUGGGGUGAUGGCCUACUAAGGCGGUGACGGGUAGCCGGCCUGAGAGGGUGGACGGUCACACUGGGACUGAGACACGGCCCAGACUCCUACGGGAGGCAGCGGUGGGGAAUAUUGCACAAUGGGCGCAAGCCUGAUGCAGCGACGCCGCGUGGGGGAUGGAGGCCUUCGGGUUGUGAACCUCUUUCGCCAGUGAAGCAGGCCUGCCUCGUUUGUGGGUGGGUUGACGGUAGCUGGAUAAGAAGCGCCGGCUAACUACGUG
rnacentral:rRNA from 1 species